rnacentral:lncRNA from 1 species
GAAAUGGUACAAUGCCAAUCAGCUUGGCCAGACCGAGAAGAACUUGAAACGGCUGUAGGAAGUAUUCGGAUUAGGAUGAGGGCUGUAACAAAGAGAUCAGUGCUGCCUUUGGCCUCUGGACAAGUGACUGCUUCUCAAAACAGAAGAAGAGCCCGUAGCACCACCCAAGGAGGAGAGUGAAAUCAGACUUCAUGUCACGCCCACAAUUGGAGAACUUCAGGAAAUGCCCUAGGCUGUGGUCAGCUGGAAGGUCUGCUUCUCCUCAAUCUAGAAACUUCUGGGACUGUCUUUGGUGCUGAGAGUCCAAGUCUAGGAGGUGUGAGCAGCUGCGUCUCCAUCUCCCUGGACCAAGCC